rnacentral:rRNA from 1 species
GUAGGGAAUCUUCCACAAUGGGUGCAAACCUGAUGGAGCAAUGCCGCGUGAAUGAAGAAGGUCUUCGGAUCGUAAAGUUCUGUUAUUAGAGAAGAACAAGUCGAGGAGUAACUGUCUCGACUUUGACGGUACCUAACCAGAAAGUCACGGCUAACCACGUGCCAGCAGCCGCGGUAAUACGUAGGUGACAAGCGUUGUCCGGAAUUAUUGGGCGUAAAGGGAGCGCAGGCGGUUGGAAUAGUCUGAUGUGAAAGCCCACGGCUUAACCGUGGAAGGUCAUUGGAAACUGUCCAACUUGAAUGCAGAAGAGGUAAGUGGAAUUCCAUGUGUAGCGGUGAAAUGCGUAGAUAUAUGGAGGAACACCAGUGGCGAAGGCGACUUACUGGUCUGUAAUUGACGCUGAGGCUCGAAAGCGUGGGUAGCGAACAGGAUUAGAAACCCUAGUAGUCC